CAGUGCACAGGAUUGGAAGGCUAGGCUAAAGAUACCACCACCUGAUACUCGCUAUAAAACAGAGGGUGUAGGCUGGUAUGGUUAGUCGGGAAUGGAGCAGGGAGACUUUCAUAUUCUUAUCCUUAUUCACCCAAUACAAAUUGCUCCCAGAGAUAUUCUUGAUGACUACAGAAUGCCCCUACACAUUAGCUCUUCCUGACUAAGCCAAGGUCCAUUUUCUUGACAUGACACCCAAGCUGUCGGUACGUGACUCGUUUGAGGUUUGUAACUAUUUUUGCAUUUUCCUCCACUCUUAGUAAACUUCUGAUAUUUAACCCUGUUGCCCUCAGACUGAGCCCUAACAUAUUGCGAUUAUGUU